rnacentral:lncRNA from 1 species
UGACUGCUGAAAGGCAUCCUUAAGGGUGCAAGAAUAAAGAUAUCAAUCAAUGUAGGUUUGCAACUGUAAACCUUCCUGUAUGCCAAGGACGUGUCCAGGUGCCAGGCAAAGAGGACCUUCUGUUACACUGAACAGGGGGAAGAUAAAACAUCAGAGACAAAUGGGAACAGCUGCUGGCAUACCAAAGUGUGGCACUGAAGGAGGCAGUCUGCAGGCGUAGCCGGGGUGGCAAGAACAUGGUCUGCCAAGGAACUUCUUCUGGAUACGUCAUAAAGCAGGAAAAGGAUGCUGUUCUUGAUAUUGUCAGUGGAGAAGUCCAGUCUGGGGCCAAAACCACAAAAGUGAAGCCUUACAAAACCAGAAAACCAAGCAGAAAGAUCUUCAGCUGAUAAUGCCCUCUUUCCUCAGUAUGCAGACAGCAUUUUCCUUGAUAGAUGUAUGCAUUCCUGUGGAAAAGACUCCACCAUUCUGCUGACAUCUGAUGCUUGACAGUGCUUGGAUAUAAGCUGUCUCCUUUGACAUCCCUUGUAGCCCAGCUAGCCAAGCAGAGCAUCUGCACAGUAGAGCACAACAGAUUGGAAGAGGAUUUCUGUACAGUCUGUGUUGGUGAGUGGUGAUCAGAUAUUCUCAAGGUCAAACAACCGAAUAACAAAUCAGCAAUACCCAUAUUUUAUUGAGCAGUAGUGAAACCCUACUGUUAGAAAGCUGAGGAACUGAUAUGACAGUUACAGAACUUUUAGUUUAUUCUGCUCUGCACAGAAUGCAUUAAGACUGUAUUUCUAGUCUUGCAAUGGAGAUGAGGAAAGGUAAAGAGGUUGUGUUCAUUUUUCUUUCUGUUCUUGUCUUUGUGUCCUGUUUAAGCAUUUCUCCUGGUUCUGGUUUUGAAGUGAUAGCAGGAUACCAGCACGUUUUGUAUAUUUGCACAGUUGAGGAAUAAGUGUCUCAUUUCUUGAGGCUAAGAUUUCCUGGGGUAAAAGAAGGAGCACGGAGCAUUUUGCAGUACCACUGUUAAACUGCUGCCAUCUGGCCUUUAAGCCACUGACUGCUAUGCCUUGAGCCCCACUGUAGUCCACCCAUCCAGUCCACACUGCCCUGCAAUGAUACCUUCCUGGUGCAGAAGAGUGGAAGGAAAAGUGGAACAAGCACAGGCACUGAUAGAACUGGAGCGGAGGAACAGCUGCUGCGAGGCAGUGUGAGCAGUAAUGGAGGGUGGAGGCAGAGCGGUUUGAUAGGCAGCCUGACAGGCAGUUCAGCCAAAGAGGCUUUUUUGUAGUGGGGUUAGAGGAUGGUGGUUGUAAACACAGAUGUAAAUCAGAAGAGAGAUAGAAGUUAAAGAUCAAAGGAAAGAGCAGGGAACGAGGGAACGUAGGAAGAUAGAUAAGGGAUGGAAAAUCUAAAAAUGCUAAAAUGAUUAGGUAUCAAGGAGUUGGACAGCUUCGAUCUGUGAUAAAUCAACAAGGUUCAAGAUGAACCUUGCAAAAUCAUUAGCUCCAAAACCUUGCAAGAUGAACCUUGCAAGAUGAAAUUGCAAAAUCAUUAGGUCCAAAUUUCUCCUAUGUGAUGCAAAUAUGCAGAGACCUGUGUGUGAGACAUUUUGCUACCAAGCUGCCUCUUAGGAGUGAGUAUCUGAAACUGGAAGGGAUUUAUCUAACAGAAGUUCAGAUGCUGCGGGGCAUAUUAGGUGAAUUAAUAUGCACAACAUUGCAUCUUCUCUUCUAAAUUAAUAAACAUCACGUUCAUUUCUUUUUUACUAAUUGAAUGUUUAACUUGUUUGUCUAAGGCCGGUGAUAGGUCAGUAGGAGGUUAGGAAUAGAUAUUGCUUGUUUUCUCCAGAGCCCUGAACCAUUGCUGGGUUUCAUAUUUCCUCCAGCCUGUCUCAGUGCAAUACUGUUUUGCAGACAGAUGAAAGAGUUUCUUUCAUUACUGAAACAAAAGGCCAAGUAAAGAGUUAGGAAACUGAUAAUUAUAUACUAGCUUUUUCCCCAAGGGCAAAAGAAAAAAAAUCAAUGUGUUGCAGGGUUUUUUUUUUAUCUUUCUUCAGUCUAAUUAGUGACUUAAUGGCAAGAAAAUUAGUAUACAUAUUUUCUUUUCAGGCCUUUACCCUGGAUGAAUUUUUUAGCUAGAGGAUACUUGCUCUGUACAUGAUUC